rnacentral:rRNA from 1 species
UGCACCUUUUGCUUUUUAUUCCCACUUUGGGAUUGCACCACUUUGGGAUUGCACGCCCGUGCAUCUCAGGAGGCCCAUCUAACCAAAUUCCUUUUAUCUAGAAGAACAGACACCACCACCACCACCACCACCACCACUAAUGAUCCUACUUUAUAUGACAAGUCGGUUCUCGGCAGCCUCCGAACAGAUGAGUACCCCGCCUCCGACCACGGUGCUCUGAAGGUGGCCGACAAGAUCCCGGCGCUGCCAGGGCAGCCUGAGGGUGUCGACUUCGACCAGUACGGUGGGUACGUGGCCGUCGACAGCCACAAUGGCCGUGCUCUCUUCUACUACUUCGUUGAAGCGCCCGGCGAUGCGACGGCGAAACCACUCCUCCUCUGGCUCAAUGGAGUGGCCAACGUCAUCUUCCUGGAAUCACCCGCCGGCGUAGGAUUCUCCUACUCAAACACGUCUUCCGACUACGACGGGAUGGGGGGUCCAAUGGCUGCCCAGGACGCCUACGUCUUCCUCGUCAGCUGGCUCAACAGGUUCCCCGAGUACAAGGCACGCCCCUUGUACAUCACUGGGGAAAGCUACGCUGGUCACUACAUCCCCCAACUCGCCGCCACCAUCUUAGCACACAACAGCAGCAGCAACACCAUUAACCUCAAGGGCAUCAUGGUUGGGAACCCUUACCUCGACAGGAUGAAAAACCUCAUAGGGCACUACGAGUACCUGUGGAGCCACGGUGCCAUCUCCGACGAGGUAUGGGCCGACAUUGCUGGCGGCUGCAGCAUCAACGACUCCUCCAUCAGCGCGAGGUGCUACCACGCUAUUACCGAAUGUCAGGACGGUAUCCUGGAUCACGAUAACAUAUACGCUCCCACAUGCAUCAUCGACACCAACGGCUCCUACUAUUCCAGCACCUACGUACGUAACCAAAAAAAAAAAUGAACAUUGCCCGGGUAUGAUCCAUGCAGCUAUCUGCCUACCAAGGCCUACCUCAAUAGUCCUCAAGUUCAGAAGGCUCUCCAUGCCAGAGAAACCAAAUGGCUCGAUUGCAGAUCCUUUGAGGACUUCAAGGACUCACCGGACACCAUGGUGCCAACCUUGAAACGGCAAAUCGACCACGGCCUGCCCAUAUGGCUCUUCAGUGGGGAUUUCGACUCGGUUUGCCCCUUCACCGGCACCAAGUACACGAUCCACGACCUCAACCUCUCCGUCACCGAGCCGUGGCGUCCAUGGACGGCCGGGCACGAGGUAGGGGGCUAUGUCCAGCGGUACGCCGGAGGGUUCACCUUCGCCACCGUGAGAGGAGCCGGGCACAUGGUCCCGGCCUUCCAACCCGAGAGAGCGAUGAUACUGCUCCAGUCCUUUCUCACAGGGAUCGUCCUCCCUCCAUUCAACAAGGAGUACUAG